rnacentral:rRNA from 1 species
AAUGAACGCUGGCGGCAUGCCUAACACAUGCAAGUCGAGCGAGCACAUGGGGCGUUUGCUCCUCUGACGGUGUCGGCGGACGGAUGGGUAACUCUUGGAUAACAUACCUCUAAGACUGGGGUAAUAACGGCGGACCGGCGCUAAUACCGGAUGAUAUAUUGAACCGCAUGGUUCACUCGUUAAAGACGGUUUUUCUGUCACUUAUAGCUUACUCCGCGCCGCAUUAGUUAGUUGGUAAGGUAACGGCUUACCAAGGCGACGAUGCGUAGCCGACCUGAGAGGGUGGUCGGACACACUGGAAGUGAGACACGGUCCAGACUCCUACGGGAGGAAGCAGUAGGGAAUCUUCCGCAAUGGGGGAAAGCCUGAUCGAGCAAAGCCGCGUGAGUGAUGAAGGACUUCGGAUCGGAAAGCUCUGUUGUUAGGGAAGAAGAAAUGUGUAAGUAACUAGGCACGUAUUGACGGUACCUAAAGAAAAAGCCACGGCUAACUCCGUG